rnacentral:lncRNA from 1 species
UAUAAUAAUAAUUUGUAGCCCAGUAUAACCCCAACGAGGAAUCUACGAUGAAUGUCCCCCAGUUGGUUUCCAGUAAGUACUCGAUAUGAGAAUUUGAGGAUUUUUCAAACGGCGUCCCAAUUUGUUUAAAUAGUAGGAAAGUCCUCAAGUCUGUGUAAGUAUCCUUUGCUUAUUUGGUUAUGUAGUUAGUCUUCUUUAAACCCUCCUAUCCCUCCCAACGAAUCUACGACCCGCCACCGCACAAAAAA